rnacentral:rRNA from 1 species
AUUGAACGCUGGCGGCAGGCCUAACACAUGCAAGUCGAGCGGAUGAAGGGAGCUUGCUCCUGGAUUCAGCGGCGGACGGGUGAGUAAUGCCUAGGAAUCUGCCUGGUAGUGGGGGAUAACGUCCGGAAACGGGCGCUAAUACCGCAUACGUCCUGAGGGAGAAAGUGGGGGAUCUUCGGACCUCACGCUAUCAGAUGAGCCUAGGUCGGAUUAGCUAGUUGGUGGGGUAAAGGCCUACCAAGGCGACGAUCCGUAACUGGUCUGAGAGGAUGAUCAGUCACACUGGAACUGAGACACGGUCCAGACUCCUACGGGAGGCAGCAGUGGGGAAUAUUGGACAAUGGGCGAAAGCCUGAUCCAGCCAUGCCGCGUGUGUGAAGAAGGUCUUCGGAUUGGAAAGCACUUUAAGUUGGGAGGAAGGGCAGUAAGUUAAUACCUUGCUGUUUUGACGUUACCAACAGAAUAAGCACCGGCUAACUUCG